UCUACAACCACAUUGGAUUGCACUAUGCUGAAAUGAUGUGCUUCCACUAAGCUGGGAAAUACUUUAUGAAAGCCAUGCAAAUCUGCAAUGAGGUGCACUGAGAGAGAGAAACGCCCAAGGACAAAGUCUCUGCAAUUUAGCAUAUGCUUACAGCCAGCUGAAAAACUAUGACAUGGCAGAGUAUUACUAUCAAGAGGCACUUAAUGCAUUUGUGGAUGUGGGUUAUUUAUAUGGCCAGCAACAAGUCUGUGAAGGAUUGGGUGCUACUAGUUUCUGCCUAGGUGACUCAGAUCAGGCCAUCUCUUAUUACAAACAAGCUCUGACUCUGUUUGGAAAGUCAAAGGAAACAUCUGAUCUCUCCAGAGAAAGGGUUUUAGGGAAACUGAGGGACACUGUUAAGUAUCAAACCAGUCAUCAGUGUCCUGUUUCAUGCAGAGACAGCUUUUCAAACACAACAGCAGCUGCAAGUUUAGGGCAGGGAGAAUCAUGAUAAAACAUGAAAACAAAAGCUAACUUUAAAAAUCAUUGCUGAUUUGCUGGACUC